GCGAGACUGGCGGAAUUGGCAGACGCGCAUGGUUCAGGUCCAUGUGAAGGCAACUUCAUGCAGGUUCAAGUCCUGUGUCUCGCACCA
rnacentral:tRNA from 2 species